rnacentral:sRNA from 1 species
CGCCGAUAUCUGACGUGCAGGAUGAGAACCUGCCGCAGGUUCGCCUGAAUCGCAAUGCGAUUCAGGCUGAUGCGCCAGCAUCACCCGCAGGGCGAGGCCCACCGGGCCGAGGCAAUCCUGCACGACCCACCA